AAUUAAGCAGUUGUAUGAUGGAUUCCUGGAGGACAUAGAGCGUUACCCUAUCGUAGUUGACGGAGACACUGUGUCAUCAGUGAUCCUGAUAGGAACUGUUUCACACUCUACUGUUCGAAUGAAUCACUGGUCCUUCGAUCUACAGGAUGCCACAUGGUCGGAAACAACUUCCGACUUUAAACUUGCUUGGUCAUCAAGCAAUGGCGACUAUGUUCAACUAUUUGGCAAACCUGCCAUGAAUGACAGAUUCCUUCAGAUUAAA